AUUGAACGCUGGCGGAAUGCUUUACACAUGCAAGUCGAACGGCAGCACGGGGCAACCUGGUGGCGAGUGGCGAACGGGUGAGUAAUACAUCGGAACGUGCCCAGUCGUGGGGGAUAACGUAGCGAAAGCUACGCUAAUACCGCAUACGAUCCAAGGAUGAAAGCGGGGGAUCGCAAGACCUCGCGCGAUUGGAGCGGCCGAUGGCAGAUUAGGUAGUUGGUGGGGUAAAGGCUCACCAAGCCGACGAUCUGUAGCUGGUCUGAGAGGACGACCAGCCACACUGGGACUGGGACACGGCCAAGACUCCUACGGGAGGCAGCAGUGGGGAAUUUUGGACAAUGGGCGCAAGCCUGAUCCAGCCAUUCCGCGUGCAGGAUGAAGGCCUUCGGGUUGUAAACUGCUUUUGUACGGAACGAAAAGGUGCCUUCUAAUACAGGGCGCUCAUGACGGUACCGUAAGAAUAAGCACCGGCUAACUACGUGCCAGCCGCCGCAGUAACAC
rnacentral:rRNA from 1 species